GAUGAAGAACGCAGCGAAAUGCGAUAAGUAGUGUGAAUUGCAGAAUUCAGUGAAUCAUCGAAUCUUUGAACGCACAUUGCGCCCUUUGGUAUUCCAAAGGGGCAUGCCUGUUCGAGCGUCAUUUGUACCCUCAAGCUUUGCUUGGUGUUGGGCGUCUUGUCUCUAGCUUUGCUGGAGACUCGCCUUAAAGUAAUUGGCAGCCGGCCUACUGGUUUCGGAGCGCAGCACAAGUCGCACUCUCUAUCAGCAAAGGUCUAGCAUCCAUUAAGCCUUUUUUUCAACUUUUGACCUCGGAUCAGGUAGGGAUACCCGCUGAACUUAAGCAUAUCAAUAAGCGGAGGA
rnacentral:misc_RNA from 1 species